rnacentral:rRNA from 12 species
CUACCCGCUGAACUUAA